AGACUGCUGUGCUAGCAAUCAGCGAGACUCCGUGGGCUAGGACCCUCCGAGCCAGGUGCAGGAUAUAAUCUCAUUGUGCGCCGCUUUUUUAAGUCCGUUGGAAAAGCGCAGUAUUCGGGUGGGAGUGACCCGAUUUUCCAGGUGCCGUCCAUCACCCCUUUCUUUGACUCGGAAAGGGAACUCCCUGACCCCUUGCGCUUCCCGAGUGAGGCAAUGCCUCGCCCUGCUUCGGCUCCGGCACGGUGCGCGCACCCACUGACCUGCGCCCACUGUUUGGCACUCCCUAGCGAGAUGAACCCGAUACCUCAGAUGGAAAUGCAGAAAUCACCUGUCUUCUGCGUCGCUCAGGCUGGGAGCUGUAGAUUGGAGCGGUUCCUAUUCUGCCAUCUUGGCUCCUCCCUAUACUAUCUUCUAGUUUCUUAAGUUGUAAAGGUUCCUUGGAGUCUCAGAAAAACCCAGUGAAUCCAGUCUCAAGUGAACCCAGUGAUGGUAUCAACUUUUAAAGAGAAGUUCAAACCAUGGAUUCCAAGUACUCGGACCAAAACACAGUAGAGUAUGGAGCUCAUUCUAAGGAUUAUGGAGAUAAACCAUGGAAAGGGGUUUCCAGGAGAUGCUGCAAUUGCUGGUCCAGGAAACAUGCUUUAAGAACUGCUGACCUAGGAUGUUGCGGUGCAUUUUCCCAUAAGUAACAAAUACCUAGCAAACAAUACCACUGAAAAUAUUGAAAAUACACUACAUUUACCUCGUUAAGUUCUUUCAUUAUGCUUUUCUCAAGUUUUAUCUCCAUUUCCAGUAAAAUAAUAGCCCCAUUGAAUCAGACUGAAAGUAUUAAUAUUUUAGUUAAUCUUCAGCGUAUUUUGUGCUAUAGCUUCCUAGCUCUGAUCAUGAGAUCAUUUUCAGUUGAGUCCAUGACUGAGAGUAUUUGUCCCAAUACUUACUGCUAUUUGAACAUGAUGAGUCUGUAGAUAGUACUUUAAUUCCUUUGUGUGUCUUUUUUUAAUUAAAAAGGAAAAUCAUAAAUACCCAGACUUUUUCAAAAAUUCAAAUAUUCUCCAAAAGAGGUGAUUUAAACCAGAAGAAAGGACAACGGCAGACCUCUGUUACUUAGUUUCCCACCCAUGUAUGAGGAGCACAUAUGUUGUGAAUUAAGUUAUUUUCAGAAUAUUUCACUUUUUCACACUUCAGGGAGGCCAUAUAUAUUUUAAUAAAUCUCCAGACAAACUAUGGUAAUUCUCUCUGAAGAUGAACUUACCACAGUAAUAGAAAUUAUAAAUAAAAAUUUUUUUGAUGAUGAAAGAAAAUGAUAUAUACCUGAGACUACACCAGGUGGAAUAGGAACACCUAGAAG
rnacentral:lncRNA from 10 species